CUCAGGAAAAGAAUAUAGCAAUUUUCAAUGUUUUACAAAAAGGUAAAAUAGAAGACCUGAUCCAGUGACUCAUUAAGGAGAAAGGACAAAAGAAGGCUAAUGCAAAAAAGUAAGAAGAAAAGGAAGAAAGAAGAAAGGAAGAAGUUAUAGAAAACAUCUCAGAGUAGAGUUAUACUGAAAAAUGGCAGAAUGAUCUUCAAGUCCUCCCAGCCCUUCACCUCAAGCAUGCACUUGAUGCAGAGAUUGGCCAGAGAGAAUGAGAAG
rnacentral:lncRNA from 1 species